rnacentral:rRNA from 1 species
GGUCGACGUCAAGUCCUCAUGGCCCUUAUGUCCAGGGCUACACACGUGCUACAAUGGCCGGUACAAAGGGGCGCAAGGACCGCGAGGUGGAAGCAAAUCCCAAAAACCGGUCUCAGUUCGGAUUGGAGUCUGCAACUCGACUCCAUGAAGUUGGAAUCGCUAGUAAUCGCGUAUCAGCAUGACGCGGUGAAUACGUUCCCGGGCCUU